rnacentral:lncRNA from 1 species
UGGCGCAGUGGUUCACGAACCCGACUAGGAACCAUGAGGUUGCUUUUUCGAUCCUGGCCUUGCUCAGUGGGUUAAGGAUCCGGCGUUGCUAUGAGCUGUGGUGUGGGUCACAGACGUGGCGCGGAUCCUGCGCUUCUGUGGCUCUGGCGUAGACCGGGGGCUACAGCUCCGAUUAGACGCCUUACCUGGGAACCUCCAUAUGCCGCGGGUGCGGCCCUGAAAAAGACAAAAAUAAAUAAAUAAAUAACUCUAGGAAAUAUUAAACAUGCCUCAAGUUCUGCUUAUGCAUUGUAUUGUCAGAAUUAUAUCUUAAUAUCUAAAUUUAAAGUAAGUUAAUGUUAACUUCUCUUUCUGAUGUAUUGCUAUUAAAGAGACACUGUGGGCACAUGAAGCAAAGUAGUUAAUAUGCUGAUAAAACUUUUUCCAUUAUUCAUUUCUUCGUUUCAUCCUUCUAGUUUUCCAACCUUCCCUCAACAAAUAUUUAUUGAUCACCAACUGUGUUCUAGGAAUUGUAUUAUAUAUUUGGUAUCUAUCAUUGAAUUAAAUAAAGAUCCCUGCUCUCCAUGGAACUCACAUUCAUAAUAGUCUCAGAAUAAAAUCUACAUAAGUAAAGGGGACCCUUGUAUCAGAGCAGAAUGAAGAUAGAAAGAUACAUAGAUUUCAAAAGGGAAAAGAAGUGUUUCAGGAAUGGUAAUGAAUAUAAAUAUCAGGUGAUUAGCAAUUUUUAUCAGUGAGAAUCCCUACCUUUUCAACCAUAUCACAAUAUUUUGUCAUAAAUAACAUUUGUAAAAGUUGAAUCCAGUCUGAAAUUCUGAAGGUCUCAUCCAGAGAAUAUGGCUCAGAUUCAGAGAACUCAUCCACAGCAGGGAGGACUUUCCAAAAGAAGAACUGACCAUUUGUAACCCUAAUGGACAUAUAAUGUGCUUUCAAAUUACAUUUCCACCUAUCUUGAGAUCAAUUAAUGCCUCUCUAGCAGUUGUAAAUUUCUCUGACAUUCUGAUUUUUCUCUAUAUUGAAACUUUUUUUUUUUUUUGGCUUUCUUUUGCAUAUCCUUGGUUUUAAAUUAAGAAUGAGAAGUAAAAGGCUUCUUAAGGCAGACUCCUGACCAGUGUCUGAAAGAUCUGAAAGAUAUGGAGUUUAUCUCAUUCUUUAUUAUUUCAGUUGUUUGAGCCCCCACAUCAAUUGCUUGGGUGGUUUAAUCCUUACUGCUAAGAGAAAAAAACAUUUAUUUCCAUCUCAACAUGAGCUUUCUAAGGAGCAGGUUAUUAGGAUUUUGUUGUGUGGAGGAGGCAGAGACUGAUGACACAGUUCAUCAUCAGUUGUUUCUAUCAUUUAAUUGAGUCACAUUUAAUUAUUAGCAUAAUCUAAUAACUUAAGCUUGCUUUGGAGUCCUGGAAAUUGAAAUGAAGCACAUUAGUAAAUUCCACUAAACAUUAUGUUUUCUUUUCCAGAUGAAAUGCAAUUAGCACAGUGCUCUUUAAUAAUAUACUAGCCCACUGCUAUUUAUGGCUAAGUCUAAGUUUGCUGCAGAACCAAGCCUUCUCAAGUGUCUCUCUAAUAUUGGAAAGCAGGAAACAUAAAAGGCAAUGAACACUUUAAAUAUGCUUAUUAGGGGUUGAUUGAAAUUCAUCAUUAGCUAAUACCUAAUAAUAUUCUUACUGGAAAGAAUUCUAAGUUAUCUGAGAAAAGUGGAAUAUUCUGGGUAAACUAAUAUUUCUCAGGCAGCACGAAUUUCUUUAUGGUUUAUUAAUUGUCCUUGUUCUUUAUUGUUCUUUGAGAUACAUUCAAAAAUGUUUUCUGAAAAACAGGUAAAUUUUAAGCAGUUCUACCUAGGACUGAAUUGCUUGUAUAGAUGACCCUUUGUUUUUCAAAUUCAGUGUGAUUUUUCUUUAUACUAAGAGAAAUAUAAUGAAGAUUUUAAAGGCUUUGUGUCAUGAAACCCUAAGGGCAAAUAAGAUGGUUGAUAGCUGUGCUAACUUCCUUUGAAAUUAAUACCAGUAUAUCAAUUUGCAGUAUUGUUUUUCCUGUUAUGGAACUUAAUAUACAAUUGAGCAUUUGUUGACCCAGAGUUCCCAUUGUGGCUUUGUGAGUUAAGGACCAGUGUAGUUUCUAUGAGGAUAAAGUUUCUAUCCCUGGCCUCACUCAGGGGGUUAAGAAUCUGGCUUUGCUACAAGCCAGCGUAGGCUGCAGAUGUGACUCAGAUUGACGUUGCUGUGGCUGUGGUGUUGGCCUCAGCUGCAGCUCCGAUUCAACCCCUAGCUGGGGAACCUCCAUAUGCCCCAGGUGUGGCCUUAAAAAAAAAAAAUUAAAUCUACAAGAAGCUACAACCUUUUGGGGUCCAAUCAGGUUGAGAUUAGGAGUUGGAGUUUCUGUGAUUUCUGCCAUGAAAGGUGGCAACCCAAAUUAAAUCCAAAGUCAAUUCUCACCUUUCAGGACAACUGAGACAACUGAAGUGUGAUGAGACGAAGUGAAUGUGACUGUCACAGUGUCCAGGGAUUUGUAACCUACAUGAUUAUAACCCACAGGAGCCACUCAGGUCAGGAACUAAGUAAUUGGGCAAGGCUCAGGAAAACAUCUGGGAAGAAGAAGACACUAACUCCCAAAAAAGGCUUAAAGAGGAUUAGCAGAUUAACCUGCCAUUUCUAUUGUUGUACAUGAUUUUGGGAUUGAGAAUAGCCACAGAGUCGUUGCUCCUCCAUUCAUGGAGAGGUGGAGUCCAGUUGCCUUCUUACUGAAUCUGGGCAGGUCUUAGUGAUUUCUCUUGGCUGAUACAAUGCGAACAGAUUGACAUCCUGGGAGUUUGUAGUCUAGGUCAGAAAAAGACUUGCAGCUUCCAUCUUUAUCUCUAGAACACUUAGUCUUGAAACACAGCUGCAUGUAGUGAGGAAGCCCAAUGGAGAGACCCCUGUGGAGCAGAACUGCAGCACACAGCUGACAAGCCCUACUGGAUAUCCAACCAACAGCCCCAACUUCCUCUCAGCCAACAACCAGCAAUAACUAGCAAGCUCUGGGAGUGGUUUCUCCUAUACCCAGAUUCUCCAACCUCUUUCAAGCUUCUCCAGUUACUGCUAUGAGAAACAGAGAUGAGUUGCCCUAGCAAGCCCUUCCCAAAUUCCUGACCCACAAACUUCAUAGCAUUGAUAUUUUUAACUUUCAAAGUUUUAGAAGUCAUUUGUUGUGCUAUAAUAGAAAAAUAUUCUUGACACUUAUAAUCACUCUCCUUAAUUACCCAUUCUAGGUUUCUCUCACCACCGUUUGGAUGAGUGGUUUUACUGAUGUUAUUCAAACUUUUUUCCCCAGGAUAUCUGAGCACUUAAUUUCCUUGUGUUUUUGAAGCCAUGUCCAUUCACCAUCUUCACUUAGAAGCUUGGAGAAACCCAAAUCAAUAACCUGGGAUAAAGAAAUACUCCUUCUUUAUUCCAUGCUUUAGUAGCAAAUCUAGAUCUUAAAACAGUUUUUUUUUUUUUUUUUUUUCUUUGACUACUGGUACAUUGGCAUGAAGUGCACAAGUGGCCAUGUGUGUGCUGCAGCUUUUAUUUCGUAGAAACUUUGCUGGCUUCUCUGACAGGAGUGUUUACCCCUAGGAGCUAGGGUCUCUAGGUUGAGAAGGCUGAAGGUUUUAGGAAUACAAAGGACAAUUCAUCAGGUAGAUCCCUUGGCAGUGAUAGUGAGAGGAGCCAGUCUUACUUCCACCUAUACGUACUGGACCCAUAUAUUAUUGUUAUUGGGACACAGCCCUUGGUUCAGUAUAUGUGGGCAUUGUACUCCAGAAGACUGCAUUCAAAUCCUCAAAGUGUUGUCCCUGGGCUGGCACCCUUGAUGACCUUUCAACAAGCCACUUAACUAUAUUACAGGCUGCCAAUUUCUGGGUGAUUGGGAUAUGUUGUCAGAAUGGUGAAUCCUGCAUCAUUUCUUGCAUCUCAUUUUCCGUAAAAUAUUUCUCCCAGUGCAAGGAAAUGUCAUGUGGAUUCUGUAUCAAUGAAUUAAUAGUCUCUAAGCCCUUGGACACUGAUGCUAUCUAUCAAAGACAUUGCUAGCAUAGAAAACAGUAUUUGCAGUAUGAUAUGAUUCUAGAAAGGACAAAUCAAUGCCCACUGUUAGGUGGAAUACAUUGCAAAAUCUUUGAAGUUUGUCCACCAGUGUUUGAUUAAUAUUGUAGCAAUUUCCUGAAUUUUAGGAGGUUUAUACCACAUCUAUCAGGCAUGUAUCUUCCUAGAAUAUCUAGAAGCUUGUCAAGCUCUGUACAGUUUAAUUAGCAUAAUGCCACACAGUAUUGUUAACCAGGGUGAUUUUUCACUGGAAUGUCAAGAUGACUGCAAUUCUUGAGGGCUAUAUCUAACAAAGACCAGGGAUUUUUGAUCCUCUCUGCUUUUUAAUAUUGAGGAAAAAAAGGCCUUCCAAAAUAUAACUGUAUACAAUGUGACAGAGUCUGUGUUGAUAAACUCUUGUAAAGACACCACCGAAUGGCAUGGCAUCUUCAGUUUGGACUAUGACCUGAUUAAUUUUACUGGUUAGCCUUUAUCAUUGAUGAUUUUUCUGGUUUUUAGAGGCAACAUAGGUGAACUGAAUGGUGAUAGGAUGAAACUGACACUGAUCUCCAUCAUUCCUCCCAAGAUGUGUCUUCUAAUUUAUUAUUUUUGCUAGUGGUAAGGAGUUACAUAUAGCCUUUUCCAUAAAAUGGUCCUUAUCCUACAGCUCAUGGAAUAAAUGUGAGCCUUUUUGUUAGCACCCAAGUAUAAAGGUGGAGCCUGAAUUAAUAAACUAUUAAUUAAAUACCUGUUUUCCAUAUGUCUUCAUUAUGAACUGGUAUCCAUGAUGAUAAAUAUUUAUAGAGGCAUCAGUUCCUUAAAAUAUCUUCAGUAUUUAUUUUUUCUACUUAUCCUGAAAAAUGGCAUCAGUACCAUUUGGAAUCAGUCUCUCUCAAUCAUUACAAACCAUUUUUCUUUGCAAUUGUACAUUCUUUAUAAUCAGAUAAGUUUUUGGCAGUGUGCCUUAUGACU